rnacentral:sRNA from 1 species
GUGGUGGAAAUUUGUUUGAUGCCAUUUCCAUUGCUGUAAAGGCUGCUCUCUUCAAUACAAGAUGUUGUGAACACGAAGAUGUUUGAGGAGCUCAAGAGCCGUCUGGACACCCUGGCCCAGGAGGUGGCCCUGCUGAAAGAGCAGCAGGCCCUGCAGACGGUCUGCCUGAAGGGGACCAAGGUGCACAUGAAAUGCUUUCUGGCCUUCACCCAGACGAAGACCUUCCACGAGGCCAGCGAGGACUGCAUCUCGCGCGGGGGCACACUGGGCACCCCUCAGACUGGCUCGGAGAACGACGCCCUGUAUGAGUACCUGCGCCAGAGCGUGGGCAACGAGGCCGAGAUCUGGCUGGGCCUCAACGACAUGGCGGCCGAGGGCACCUGGGUGGACAUGACCGGCGCCCGCAUCGCCUACAAGAACUGGGAGACUGAGAUCACCGCGCAACCCGAUGGCGGCAAGACCGAGAACUGCGCGGUCCUGUCAGGCGCGGCCAACGGCAAGUGGUUCGACAAGCGCUGCCGCGAUCAGCUGCCCUACAUCUGCCAGUUCGGGAUCGUGUAGCCGGCGGGGCGGGGGCCGUGGGGGGCCUGGAGGAGGGCAGGGGCCGCGGGAGGCCGGGAGGAGGGUGGGGACCUUGCAGCCCCCAUCCCCUCCGUGCGCUUGGAGCCUCUUUUUGCAAAUAAAGUCGGUGCAGCUUCGCGGAGAGGA